rnacentral:rRNA from 1 species
AUUGAACGCUGGCGGCAGGCCUAACACAUGCAAGUCGAGCGGAUGAAGGGAGCUUGCUCCUGGAUUCAGCGGCGGACGGGUGAGUAAUGCCUAGGAAUCUGCCUGGUAGUGGGGGAUAACGUCCGGAAACGGGCGCUAAUACCGCAUACGUCCUGAGGGAGAAAGUGGGGGAUCUUCGGACCUCACGCUAUCAGAUGAGCCUAGGUCGGAUUAGCUAGUUGGUGGGGUAAAGGCCUACCAAGGCGACGAUCCGUAACUGGUCUGAGAGGAUGAUCGGUCACAAUGGUAGGGAAAUAGGGGACAGGGGCAUAAGGCAGGCAGCAGUGGCGACGAGUGGAUGAUGAGGGUGAGCAUGAUCCAAACAUAGUGCGGGUGGGAAGAAGGUAAGAGAAUGAUGACGUAGUUGAUGUGGCGAGAAAGGGCAAUAAGUCACUACCUUGCUAUGUGGACGUUACCGGCAGAAUAAGCACCGGCUAACUUCGUG